GAAACCGCAUGGUUUUGAUUUGAAAGGCGCUUUCGGGUGUCGCUGAUGGAUGGACCCGCGGUGCAUUAGCUAGUUGGUGAGGUAACGGCUCACCAAGGCGACGAUGCAUAGCCGACCUGAGAGGGUGAUCGGCCACAUUGGGACUGAGACACGGCCCAAACUCCUACGGGAGGCAGCAGUAGGGAAUCUUCGGCAAUGGACGAAAGUCUGACCGAGCAACGCCGCGUGAGUGAAGAAGGUUUUCGGAUCGUAAAACUCUGUUGUUAGAGAAGAACAAGGAUGAGAGUAACUGUUCAUCCCUUGACGGUAUCUAACCAGAAAGCCACGGCUAACUACGUGCCAGCAGCCGCGGUAAUACGUAGGUGGCAAGCGUUGUCCGGAUUUAUUGGGCGUAAAGCGAGCGCAGGCGGUUUCUUAAGUCUGAUGUGAAAGCCCCCGGCUCAACCGGGGAGGGUCAUUGGAAACUGGGAGACUUGAGUGCAGAAGAGGAGAGUGGAAUUCCAUGUGUAGCGGUGAAAUGCGUAGAUAUAUGGAGGAACACCAGUGGCGAAGGCGGCUCUCUGGUCUGUAACUGACGCUGAGGCUCGAAAGCGUGGGGAGCAAACAGGAUUAGAUACCCUGGUAGUCCACGCCGUAAACGAUGAGUGCUAAGUGUUGGAGGGUUUCCGCCCUUCAGUGCUGCAGCUAACGCAUUAAGCACUCCGCCUGGGGAGUACGACCGCAAGGUUGAAACUCAAAGGAAUUGACGGGGGCCCGCACAAGCGGUGGAGCAUGUGGUUUAAUUCGAAGCAACGCGAAGAACCUUACCAGGUCUUGACAUCCUUUGACCACUCUAGAGAUAGAGCUUCCCCUUCGGGGGCAAAGUGACAGGUGGUGCAUGGUUGUCGUCAGCUCGUGUCGUGAGAUGUUGGGUUAAGUCCCGCAACGAGCGCAACCCUUAUUGUUAGUUGCCAUCAUUUAGUUGGGCACUCUAGCAAGACUGCCGGUGACAAACCGGAGGAAGGUGGGGAUGACGUCAAAUCAUCAUGCCCCUUAUGACCUGGGCUACACACGUGCUACAAUGGGAAGUACAACGAGUCGC
rnacentral:rRNA from 1 species